rnacentral:rRNA from 1 species
AAGUUGAGCGCUGAAGGUUGGUACUUGUACCGACUGGAUGAGCAGCCCCUUGGUGAGUAACGCGUGGGGAACCUGCCUUUGAGCGGGGGUAUUUCAUUUGGAAACGAAUGCUAAUACCGCAUAAAAACUUUAAACACAAGUUUUAAGUUUGAAAGAUGCAAUUGCAUCACUCAAAGAUGAUCCCGCGUUGUAUUAGCUAGUUGGUGAGGUAAAGGCUCACCAAGGCGAUGAUACAUAGCCGACCUGAGAGGGUGAUCGGCCACAUUGGGACUGAGACACGGCCCAAACUCCUACGGGAGGCAGCAGUAGGGAAUCUUCGGCAAUGGACGAAAGUCUGACCGAGCAACGCCGCGUGAGUGAAGAAGGUUUUCGGAUCGUAAAACUCUGUUGGUAGAGAAGAACGUUGGUGAGAGUGGAAAGCUCAUCAAGUGACGGUAACUACCCAGAAAGGGACGGCUAACUACGUGCCAGCAGCCGCGGUAAUACGUAGGUCCCGAGCGUUGUCCGGAUUUAUUGGGCGUAAAGCGAGCGCAGGUGGUUUAUUAAGUCUGGUGUAAAAGGCAGUGGCUCAACCAUUGUAUGCAUUGGAAACUGGUAGACUUGAGUGCAGGAGAGGAGAGUGGAAUUCCAUGUGUAGCGGUGAAAUGCGUAAAUAUAUGGAGGAACACCG